GACGAACGCUGGCGGCGUGCUUAACACAUGCAAGUCGAACGGAAAGGCCCUGCUUUUGUGGGGUGCUCGAGUGGCGAACGGGUGAGUAACACGUGAGUAACCUGCCCUUGACUUUGGGAUAACUUCGGGAAACUGGGGCUAAUACCGGAUAGGAGCUCCUGCUGCAUGGUGGGGGUUGGAAAGUUUCGGCGGUUGGGGAUGGACUCGCGGCUUAUCAGCUUGUUGGUGGGGUAGUGGCUUACCAAGGCUUUGACGGGUAGCCGGCCUGAGAGGGUGACCGGCCACAUUGGGACUGAGAUACGGCCCAGACUCCUACGGGAGGCAGCAGUGGGGAAUAUUGCACAAUGGGCGGAAGCCUGAUGCAGCAACGCCGCGUGCGGGAUGACGGCCUUCGGGUUGUAAACCGCUUUCGCCUGUGACGAAGCGUGAGUGACGGUAAUGGGUAAAGAAGCACCGGCUAACUACGUGCCAGCAGCCGCGGUGAUACGUAGGGUGCGAGCGUUGUCCGGAUUUAUUGGGCGUAAAGGGCUCGUAGGUGGUUGAUCGCGUCGGAAGUGUAAUCUUGGGGCUUAACCCUGAGCGUGCUUUCGAUACGGGUUGACUUGAGGAAGGUAGGGGAGAAUGGAAUUCCUGGUGGAGCGGUGGAAUGCGCAGAUAUCAGGAGGAACACCAGUGGCGAAGGCGGUUCUCUGGGCCUUUCCUGACGCUGAGGAGCGAAAGCGUGGGGAGCGAACAGGCUUAGAUACCCUGGUAGUCCACGCUGUAAACGGUGGGUACUAGGUGUGGGGUCCAUUCCACGGGUUCCGUGCCGUAGCUAACGCUUUAAGUACCCCGCCUGGGGAGUACGGCCGCAAGGCUAAAACUCAAAGGAAUUGACGGGGCCCCGCACAAGCGGCGGAGCAUGCGGAUUAAUUCGAUGCAACGCGUAGAACCUUACCUGGGUUUGACAUGGAUCGGGAGUGCUCAGAGAUGGGUGUGCCUCUUUUGGGGUCGGUUCACAGGUGGUGCAUGGCUGUCGUCAGCUCGUGUCGUGAGAUGUUGGGUUAAGUCCCGCAACGAGCGCAACCCUUGUUCACUGUUGCCAGCACGUUAUGGUGGGGACUCAGUGGAGACCGCCGGGGUCAGCUCGGAGGAAGGUGGGGAUGACGUCAAGUCAUCAUGCCCCUUAUGUCCAGGGCUUCACGCAUGCUACAAUGGCUGGUACAGAGAGUGGCGAGCCUGUGAGGGUGAGCGAAUCUCGGAAAGUCGGUCUCAGUUCGGAUUGGGGUCUGCAACUCGACCUCAUGAAGUCGGAGUCGCUAGUAAUCGCAGAUCAGCAACGCUGCGGUGAAUACGUUCCCGGGGCU
rnacentral:rRNA from 1 species